GAGCUCACCUGUGACCGCCCAGCUCCAGACAAUCGACUUGCCUCCAGCUACGCCCUCUGAGACAGCAGACCACUACCUGCUGUGUCCAUCAAGCACUGUGCCGACAGGGCAAUCUUGUGACUAUUGUGGGAGGGACAUUUCAAUCACAUGUGAAACACCCCGUUUGGGGGUAUAUAACCACUCUGGCACCCCACUUCUUGGGUGCCCUUUCUUCCUUCUGGAAGAAAGGCCCCGGGCCAUGGUUCCUCAUAAAGCUUUGUUUAAUUUUCUCUUGCUAUUCUGUCUCAUGUGAAUUUAAUUCGUUCUCCAGCCAGACGAACCCCUAUUUGGGGAGAGGAAAUGUCCUCCUCCCCUACAGUUUUGGCGUAGUUGGCAGGCUGAAAUUUCCCUGGCUGGACACUGCUUGCUCCUAGACUGCUGCGGCUGAGAGAUCCCAGACCCCUGACGAGAGCCGGCAAGAGACAAAUUUUACAUGGGCACGGGUCGGCCACUUAAGUCAUUAGGAUGGUCGCCAAUCUCCAAGACUCCUGUGGAAGGUUUCUUUUCCUAAGGCUGGAUUGGGAUCCCUUCCUCUGGCACCUGAUCACUCUCUGAACUGUGGAAAUACUUCUUAAACACCUGAUUGCUUGCUUCCAAAAUAAAGGCCUAACUUUGGGAGCCCACCUGCGUCGCCACCUUCUAAAAUGAAUUUAACUGGACUGAUCUAUUACCAGGACUAAGAAAUGUGUUCAGUGAGAUGAAACAAUCUACUACCACUCAGCUUCUGGAUUGUGAAACUUUUAGUUUCAAAGGCGGGACUGUAGGGACCUGAAAUUGGCCACCCCAAGAUAUGUCUCUUUGGCAUCAGGAUUAUUUGAGGCUGAUUGCUUUUGAUAAAGUGGGACAGGGAAGGAGGCUCUGAGGAGUGGAACUUGCCCUUUGUUAGGACACAUUUACAUCUGUAAGGUAAAUCUCUAUCUGUAAAGGUGCCUCCCUCUCUGUAGUCAAGGAACUGAUUGCUGCGCUCAUCUGUGAUCCCCCAGCCCCGAGGCAACACACCUGCCACCCCGCAGCGUUCACUGAGACAGCAGACCUAUCUGCCUCCAUCAAGGGCUGUGCUGACAGAGCAGGCUCGUGACUGUUGUAAAAGGGACAUUUCAAUCAUACGUGAAACACCCUGUUUGGGGAUAUAUAACCACUCUGUGCACCCCACUUCUUUGGUGCCCUUUCU
rnacentral:lncRNA from 1 species